rnacentral:rRNA from 1 species
CCUACGGUAGGCAGCAGUGGGGAAUUUUGGACAAUGGGGGCAACCCUGAUCCAGCCAUUCCGCGUGAGUGAAGAAGGCCUUCGGGUUGUAAAGCUCUUUCGCAAGGGAAGAAACUUAUGAUCGAAUAAAUCAUGAGGUUGACGGUACCUUGAUAAGAAGCACCGGCUAACUACGUGCCAGCAGCCGCGGUAAUACGUAGGGUGCGAGCGUUAAUCGGAAUUACUGGGCGUAAAGCGUGCGCAGGCGGUUUUGUAAGUCGGAUGUGAAAUCCCCGGGCUCAACCUGGGAACUGCGUUCGAAACUGCAAGGCUAGAGUGUGUCAGAGGGGGGUAGAAUUCCACGUGUAGCAGUGAAAUGCGUAGAGAUGUGGAGGAAUACCAAUGGCGAAGGCAGCCCCCUGGGAUAACACUGACGCUCAUGCACGAAAGCGUGGGGAGCAAACAGGAUUAGAUACCCUGGUAGUCCACGCCCUAAACGAUGUCAACUAGUUGUUGGUAGAGUAAAAUCUAUGAGUAACCGUAGCUAACGCGUGAAGUUGACCGCCUGGGGAGUACGGUGCAAGNUUAAAACUUCAAAGGAAUUGACCGGNGNGNGAGNGCGACGACGACGACGAGGAGGAGG